GUAGGGGCCAAGCGUUAUCCGGAUUUAUUGGGCGUAAAGAGCUCGUAGGCGGCUUGGCAAGUCGGUCGUGAAAGUCCGAGGCUCAACCUCGGAAUGCCGGUCGAAACUGCCAUGGCUAGGGUUCGGCAGAGGAGAGUGGAAUUCUCGGUGUAGCGGUGAAAUGCGCAGAUAUCGAGAGGAACACCAGUAGCGAAGGCGGCUCUCUGGGCCGAUACCGACGCUGAGGAGCGAAAGCGUGGGGAGCAAACAGGAUUAGAUACCCUGGUAGUCCACGCCGUAAACGGUGAUCACUAGGUGUGGCGGACUCAUUGACGUCUGCUGUGCCGGCGCUAACGCAUUAAGUGAUCCGCCUGGGGAGUACGGCCGCAAGGCUA
rnacentral:rRNA from 1 species